rnacentral:rRNA from 1 species
GAUGAACGCUGGCGGCGUGCCUAAUACACGCAAGUCGAGCGAACGGACGAGAAGCUUGCUUCUCUGAUGUUAGCGGCGGACGGGUGAGUAACACGUGGAUAACCUACCUAUAAGACUGGGAUAACUUCGGGAAACCGGAGCUAAUACCGGAUAAUAUUUUGAACCGCAUGGUUCAAAAGUGAAAGACGGUCUUGCUGUCACUUAUAGAUGGAUCCGCGCUGCAUUAGCUAGUUGGUAAGGUAACGGCUUACCAAGGCAACGAUGCAUAGCCGACCUGAGAGGGUGAUCGGCCACACUGGAACUGAGACACGGUCCAGACUCCUACGGGAGGCAGCAGUAGGGAAUCUUCCGCAAUGGGCGAAAGCCUGACGGAGCAACGCCGCGUGAGUGAUGAAGGUCUUCGGAUCGUANAACUCUGUUAUUAGGGAAGAACAUAUGUGUAAGUAACUGUGCACAUCUUGACGGUACCUAAUCAGAAAGCCACGGCUAACUACGUGCCAGCAGCCGCGGUAAUACGUANGUGGCAAGCGUUAUCCGGAAUUAUUGGGCGUAAAGCGCGCGUAGGCGGUUUUUUAAGUCUGAUGUGAAAGCCCACGGCUCAACCGUGGAGGGUCAUUGGAAACUGGAAAACUUGAGUGCAGAAGAGGAAAGUGGAAUUCCAUGUGUAGCGGUGAAAUGCGCAGAGAUAUGGAGGAACACCAGUGGCGAAGGCGACUUUCUGGUCUGUAACUGACGCUGAUGUGCGAAAGCGUGGGGAUCAAACAGGAUUAGAUACCCUGGUAGUCCACGCCGUAAACGAUGAGUGCUAAGUGUUAGGGGGUUUCCGCCCCUUAGUGCUGCAGCUAACGCAUUAAGCACUCCGCCUGGGGAGUACGACCGCAAGGUUGAAACUCAAAGGAAUUGACGGGGACCCGCACAAGCGGUGGAGCAUGUGGUUUAAUUCGAAGCAACGCGAAGAACCUUACCAAAUCUUGACAUCCUUUGACAACUCUAGAGAUAGAGCUUUCCCCUUCGGGGGACAAAGUGACAGGUGGUGCAUGGUUGUCGUCAGCUCGUGUCGUGAGAUGUUGGGUUAAGUCCCGCAACGAGCGCAACCCUUAAGCUUAGUUGCCAUCAUUAAGUUGGGCACUCUAAGUUGACUGCCGGUGACAAACCGGAGGAAGGUGGGGAUGACGUCAAAUCAUCAUGCCCCUUAUGAUUUGGGCUACACACGUGCUACAAUGGACAAUACAAAGGGCAGCGAAACCGCGAGGUCAAGCAAAUCCCAUAAAGUUGUUCUCAGUUCGGAUUGUAGUCUGCAACUCGACUACAUGAAGCUGGAAUCGCUAGUAAUCGUAGAUCAGCAUGCUACGGUGAAUACGUUCCCGGGUCU